AUUGAACGCUGGCGGAAUGCUUUACACAUGCAAGUCGAACGGCAGCACGGGGCAACCUGGUGGCGAGUGGCGAACGGGUGAGUAAUACAUCGGAACGUGCCCAAUCGUGGGGGAUAACGUAGCGAAAGUUACGCUAAUACCGCAUACGAUCUACGGAUGAAAGCGGGGGAUCGCAAGACCUCGCGCGAAUGGAGCGGCCGAUGUCAGAUUAGGUAGUUGGUGGGGUAAAGGCUCACCAAGCCAACGAUCUGUAGCUGGUCUGAGAGGACGACCAGCCACACUGGAACUGAGACACGGUCCAGACUCCUACGGGAGGCAGCAGUGGGGAAUUUUGGACAAUGGGCGCAAGCCUGAUCCAGCCAUUCCGCGUGCAGGAUGAAGGCCUUCGGUGUAACUGCUUUGUACGGUAACGAAAAGGUCCUGGUUAAUACCUGGGCGUCAUGACGGUACCGUAAGAAUAAGCACCGGCUAACUACGU
rnacentral:rRNA from 1 species